CCGGUCUAAUACCGGAUAUGACACCUCCUCGCAUGGGGUGGGUGUGGAAAGUUUUUCGGUUGGGGAUGGACUCGCGGCCUAUCAGCUUGUUGGUGGGGUAAUGGCCUACCAAGGCGACGACGGGUAGCCGGCCUGAGAGGGCGACCGGCCACACUGGGACUGAGACACGGCCCAGACUCCUACGGGAGGCAGCAGUGGGGAAUAUUGCGCAAUGGGCGAAAGCCUGACGCAGCGACGCCGCGUGGGGGAUGACGGCCUUCGGGUUGUAAACCUCUUUCAGCAGGGACGAAGUUGACGUGUACCUGCAGAAGAAGCGCCGGCUAACUACGUGCCAGCAGCCGCGGUAAUACGUAGGGCGCAAGCGUUGUCCGGAAUUAUUGGGCGUAAAGAGCUCGUAGGUGGCUUGUCACGUCGGGUGUGAAAGCUUGGGGCUUAACUCCAGGUCUGCAUUCGAUACGGGCUGGCUAGAGGUAGGUAGGGGAGAACGGAAUUCCUGGUGUAGCGGUGAAAUGCGCAGAUAUCAGGAGGAACACCGGUGGCGAAGGCGGUUCUCUGGGCCUUACCUGACGCUGAGGAGCGAAAGCGUGGGGAGCGAACAGGAUUAGAUACCCUGGUAGUCCACGCUGUAAACGUUGGGCGCUAGGUGUGGGGACCUUCCACGGUUUCCGCGCCGUAGCUAACGCAUUAAGCGCCCCGCCUGGGGAGUACGGCCGCAAGGCCAAAACUCAAAGGAAUUGACGGGGGCCCGCACAAGCGGCGGAGCAUGUUGCUUAAUUCGACGCAACGCGAAGAACCUUACCAAGGCUUGACAUUGCCCGGAAACACUCAGAGAUGGGUGCCUCUUCGGAUCGGGUGACAGGUGGUGCAUGGCUCGUCAGCUCGUGUCGUGAGAUGUUGGGUUAAGUCCCGCAACGAGCGCAACCCUUGUUCAAUGUUGCCAGCAACACCUUCGGGUGGUUGGGGACUCAUUGGAGACUGCCGGGGUCGACUCGGAGGAAGGUGGGGAUGACGUCAAGUCAUCAUGCCCCUUAUGUCUUGGGCUGCAAACAUGCUACAAUGGCCGGUACAGAGGGCUGCGAUACCGCAAGGUGGAGCGAAUCCCUAAAAGCCGGUCUCAGUUCGGAUUGGGGUCUGCAACUCGACCCCAUGAAGUCGGAGUCGCUAGUAAUCGCAGAUCAGCAACGCUGCGGUGAAUACGUUCCCGGGCCUUGUACACACCGCCCGUCACGUCACGAAAGUCGGCAACACCCGAAGCCCGUGGCCCAACCAGCUUGCUGGGGGGAGCGGUCGAAGGUGGGGCUGGCGAUUGGGACGAAGUCGUAACAAGGUAGCCGUACCGGAAGGUGCGGCUG
rnacentral:rRNA from 1 species